UUUCCGGUUGAUCCCGCCGGAGGCUACUGCUAUUGGGGUUCGACUAAGCCAUGCGAGUCUAUGGACUUCGGUCCAUGGCGGACGGCUCAGUAACACGUGGCUAACCUACCCUCAGGUGGGGGAUGACCUCGGGAAACUGAGGAUAAUACCCCAUAGGGGAAGAGGUCUGGAAUGAUCCUUCCCUGAAAGGAUAUCCCGCCUGAGGAUGGGGCUGCGUCCGAUUAGGUAGUUGGUGGGGUAACGGCCCACCAAGCCUACGAUCGGUACGGGCCUUGAGAGAGGGAGCCCGGAGAUGGGGACUGAGACACGGCCCCAGGCCCUACGGGGCGCAGCAGGCGCGAAACCUCCACAAUGCACGAAAGUGCGAUGGGGGAACCCCAAGUGCCUAUGCACAGCAUAGGCUUUUCCCAAGUGUAAAUAGCUUGGGGAAUAAGGGCUGGGCAAGUCCGGUGCCGGCAGCCGCGGUAACACCGGCGGCCCGAGUGGUGGCCACUCUUAUUGGGCCCAAAGCGUUCGUAGCCGGUCCAGUAAGUCCCUGUUUAAAUCCUACGGCUUAACCGUAGGGCUGGCAGGGAUACUGCUGGACUUGGGACUGGGAGAGGACGAGGGUACUCCAGGGGUAGCGGUGAAAUGCGUUGAUCCCUGGAGGACCACCUAUGGCGAAGGCACUCGUCU
rnacentral:rRNA from 1 species